UUAUAUAGAUUUUCUCGAUAUAAACCAAAUGAUAUGGAUUUGAAGUAUCUACCCGGACGCCGUAAAUGACCGGACUAUCGAAGAAAAGGUUU
rnacentral:ncRNA from 1 species